UAAAUAACAGCAAUUAUUAUAAGUAUCAUAACGUUAUUUUGUUCCUAUAAAUACAUAUUUGGGUUUUGCAUAGAACUUGGCACUCAUUUACAUAUCCAUUCUUUUUGCAGCGAAGCCCACAGCCAAGCAUAAUUUUUGUAUUGAACUUGGCUCUCCUUUUUUACAUUUAUGUUUUUGGUGGGAUAUCAUUACUUUUUGUAAAGAAAACUAGGCAGGUAUUGAGAUUUAAUGUUUUUUCUUGCGUCAAAUAUAAUAAUACAUAUAUUGGGAUAGUUUCAAAUAUCUGCUUGUAACGGUUCCAACGCUACAAUUU